GCCGGGUGUGGUAGCGCAUAUCUGUAAUCCCAGCAACUCAGGAGGCUGAGGCAGGAGGAUCACAGGUUUUAGGCCAGCCUCAGGCCUUAACAACUUAGCAAGACCCUUUCUCCA
rnacentral:sRNA from 1 species